GUCGUCGUGGCCGAGUGGUUAAAGCGACAGACUUGAAAUCUGUUGGGCUCUGCCCGCACAGGUUCGAAUCCUGUCGGCGACG
rfam:Ciona savignyi cont_30551, whole genome shotgun sequence.